AUUCAAUUCUCAUAAUUCUCCUGACAACAUUCUCUCCAAGCCUCAGUUCUCUCCUUCAAAAUCAUUAUGAUUAUUCCCAUUUUUCAGAUAAGGAGCCUGAGUCCCAGAGAGCAGAAAUGACUUCAUAACUUCACAUGGCCACUAGGAGGCAGAGCCCAGACUUGAACCUAAGCUCAGUUCCAAGUGCCACCUAACACUUGAACUCUGAUCCUGGGGAACCAAGACACAAUAGGGAGGCCAUAAAAACUGUGGAAUGAAUCAGUGAACAAAUAAAUCCUAUUUCUAAAGA
ensembl:lncRNA novel transcript